rnacentral:tRNA from 1 species
UGGGCUGGGGCUCAGUGGCAGCGCGCUCACCUGGCAUGUGUGAGGCCCUGGGUUCCAUCCUCAGCACCACAG